AACGAACGCUGGCGGCAUGCCUAACACAUGCAAGUCGAACGAGACCUCCGGGUCUAGUGGCGCACGGGUGCGUAACGCGGGGGAACCUGCCCUUGGGUUCGGAAUAACUCCCCGAAAGGGGAGCUAAUACCGGAUAAGGUCUUCGGACCAAAGAUCUAUUGCCGUUGGAUGGGCCCGCGUAGGAUUAGCGAGUUGGUAGGGUAAAAGCCUACCAAGGCGACGAUCCAUAGCUGGUCUGAGAGGAUGAUCAGCCACACUGGGACUGAGACACGGCCCAGACUCCUACGGGAGGCAGCAGUGGGGAGUAUUGGACAAUGGGCGAAAGCCUGAUCCCGCAAUGCCGCGUGAGUGAUGAAGGCCUUAGGGUUGUAAAGCUCUUUUACCCGGGAUGAUAAUGACAGUACCGGGAGAAUAAGCUCCGGCUAACUCCGUG
rnacentral:rRNA from 1 species